CUGCUUGCUUUUUAACCGAAACAAACAGACGCUUUGUAUGGGGUUCAUGUUUUUAUGUUUAUGGUGAUAUAAAUGGUAAUAUUAAAUGAAUUCCUUGUUUAUUUUGGAAAAUAAACUAUAUAGUUUAGAUUCCAGAAGCCUAUCAUCGUGGAAGCUGGUUGUGCAUGUAUCAAAUUGGACCAACACUCAAUCAUGUUUGAGAAGAAUAUCUGAGAUAAGUUUCUUGGCCAUGGAAACCCCGUUCAAGGGCAGAUGACGAUUCCCCGUUCCCCGGCCAGCUAAUUGCGGGGAAGACAGCAAAAGUAACAAUUUGGUUGUGGUGGGGACAUCGGAUGUUGGAGUAUAAGCAGCUUGGCAAAGUGAUUCCUGUCAUGGACCACAGCUUUCAAGUAUGGCACUUGACAGG